GUCGGCCCCCUCUGGGUGCAAAGGGGGACGCCGUCCUAGCAGCGCGAUGCUUUGUGCCCUAUUUGUGUGGAAGGCGCUUUGGUUCUGGACUGUGGUCUGGAGCGGAGUUUCUUGAAAGGGAUCAAGGACUGCAGGGGGUGUCCUGCAAAGAGCUGUGCUGCCAUACUUCUAGGGAUCUACCUCCGUGUUCCAGCACCUGCCUGAACUGCUCCGGAAUGAGAUGUACCUGGCGUAGGAGGCUUCCCCUGGAAAGUACUGCAGAUUAACCCAGAGCCCCUGGCACCCGGACCCUGGGGGUGGAAAGAGGGCAAGAGGGCUGAGCCCUGGCCCAGGGGAGGACCAGGACUGGAGGGUGACCUGUCCCUCUUGACGGGGAAUCUGGGGCUGGCUCAGGUGCUGCAGCCUAAUCUCCAGCUGUGAGCAGCUGUGGGUUGUUGCCCAACCAGGACUCUGCCCUGGUUGCCAAAACCUCUCUCAUAGGAUUCCUGGUUUCUGAAGCCCACAGAACUGUCCACUCGUCACUGGAAAACCCAUGGUGCAGUGGGAUGGCCAAUGGCUGUGGACCUGGGCCCUGGGGAACAGGCACUCGGGGACAGCCCACACCCUGCCCGCCUUUGCCCAUAGGGCAGGGAACGCACAGGGGACAAACUGUCGGGGAGGCAGAUGGUAUCAGCUGGUCAGGACACUGCCCCCAGCCAGCGUGUCCUUGCAGCUCUGGGCCCUGGGAGCACGAGCAGCCAGGUGCAGCCCCUGUGCGGCCACAGCAGUCAGGUGGGUGAGCAGAGGCCGCUCACCGGUCUGACACAGGGAGCCCCGAGCCCCUCUUCUGGGCAAGGGAUGGGGUGUCUGGACUUCACUGAGGGUAUUUCCAAGGCACAGCAGGGCAUGGGGAAAGCAGCCUUCCUCCCUUUUAAUCCACACUGCCCUGUGGCUAGACCACACUGUGCACCCACAUAGUGGUUUUAGCCCUGGCACCACCACAAAGCAAGACUGUACUGUUCCAGGACCCAUGCCAGCAGGGCAUCCAUGCAUGGCUCUUAGCUGGCACCCUGUAACCACUCCUGGGCUGCACCUGGCACCCAGGGACGCACGUCCACCUGGUCCUCCUGAGCCCUGCCCACUAGCCUCCUGAAGAUACAGCAGGCCUCUAGCUCCACCCACUGCUCUCCAUUUAGCCGGUGUCAGGACAACACUGUCCGGGCCCUGCUUGGGGCUGGGUGGUACGUUGACACACGCUCCCACACAGCUCCCUGUGCAUGUGUGUGAGGGAGGAGGUGACUAUGUGGGUCACGCCUGGUGCUGGCCCAGGUGAUGGGGAAGGAGGACCCCAGGGAGCAGGAGGUGCUAAGGGACAAGGGGUGAGGAAGGGGCAAAGGGCUGCCAGGCAAGCUUGUCAGACAUGGGGCUGUGGCUGGGUUUUGUGGGGUUACGGGCAUUUGCUGUGCAUGACGGGUGCCUGCUCUGCUGUUACACUUUGUGGCUAGGUGUCCCCCCAAAGCC